rnacentral:rRNA from 1 species
UCAUAUGCAGGGUUCCUAGAUUCGUCGGACUGCCUCCGAAUGGACGGGCUGCUUCCUCACGGAAGAAUAUUGACGGUCCCUGAGGAAUAAGUCUCGGACUAACUACGUGACCAGGCAAGCCGGGGGUAAUAACGAUAAGAGCGAGCGUUAUCCGGAUUUAUUGGGCGUAAAGUGGGCGUAGGUGGUCUUUCAAGUCAGAUGUGAAAUCUCCCGGCUCAACUGGGAGGGGUCAUCUGAUACUGUUGGACUUGAGUGCAGCAGGGGAAAAUGGAAUUCCCGGUGUAGUGGUGAAAUGCGUAGAUAUCGGGAGGAACACCAGAGGCGAAGGCGAUUUUCCAGGCUGAAACUGACACUGAGGCCCGAAAGCGUGGGGAGCGAACAGGAUUAGAUACCCUGGUAGUCCACGCCCUAAACUAUGGGUACUAGGUAUAGGGAGUAUCGACCCUUUCUGUGCCGAAGCUAACGCUUUAAGUACCCCGCCUGGGGAGUACGGUCGCAAGACUAAAACUCAAA